rnacentral:rRNA from 1 species
CCAUUAGCGGAGGAAAAGAAACUAACUAGGAUUCCCUUAGUAACGGCGAGUGAACCGGGAUGAGCUCAAAUUUGAAAUCUGGCGUCUUUCAGGCGUCCGAGUUGUAAUCUAUAGAGGCGUUUUCCGCGCCGGACCGCGUCCAAGUCUCUUGGAAUAGAGUAUCAAAGAGGGUGACAAUCCCGUACUUGACGCGACAACCGGUGCUCUGUGAUACGUUCUCAACGAGUCGAGUUGUUUGGGAAUGCAGCUCUAAAUGGGUGGUAAAUUCCAUCUAAGGCUAAAUAUUGGCGAGAGACCGAUAGCGAACAAGUACCGUGAGGGAAAGAUGAAAAGCACUUUGGAAAGAGAGUUAAACAGCACGUGAAAUUGUUAAAAGGGAAACGAUUGAAGUCAGUCGUGUGAAAGGUAUUCAGCCGUCUCUGGCGGUGUAUUUGCCUUUCACGGGUCAACAUCAGUUUAGUCCGGUAGAAAAAGGCUGGAGGAAGGUGGCACCCUCGGGUGUGUUAUAGCCUCCUGUCACAUGUGCCGGAUUAGACUGAGGAACGCAGCUUGCCGCAAGGCCGGGGUUCGCCCACGUACAAGCUUAGGAUGUUGACAUAAUGGCUUUAAACGACCCGUCUUGAACCAAC